AGCCCAGGGAUUUCCCACCUCUCCGGCUGGGGCGGGAGGCGCUCGGAUCGGCCAUUGCUGGAGUGGAUUCGCUCCCAUGCCGCCUGUCAGCAAGUUCAGCCAUGCCCCUCGCUCGCCCGCCUCUGCUCUCCCCUCAUGCCAAGGUGUUGCCAACGUCCUAUCUGGGGCGCAUUGCUCCCCCAAAAGCCGAACCACCAGGGGAUUGCCUGGGUUCCGCACGGGGUACCCUCACCGUCAGAGGAUCCGGCUUUGAAAUCGUUUACAGGGGGAAACGUCUGGGCUAGUUGUGUGUGUUGGUUGCGAACUUCCUGAUGGGCGAUUGCCUCUCCACCACAGUGGGCACAAAGCAGGGCAGCCCGGCGAAGAUGCUUGCAGUAUGCAAAACUAGGGCAGGCUGGGUUGGUGCAAGGAGAAAGGCGAGCAAGUCACAAAUCCUAGCCCUGUCCGUAUUUUCGAGAUUACCUUUGGGUUUGGGAAUGAUUUUAGGGCCGCGUUCUCCCGCUCCUAUUGGCUGGAGCUGGAGAAUAAUUAUGAUCACAUCCUAAUCCUGCUGGCUGCUGCUUACUGUUUAUUGGUAGUUAAGGAUCUAUUAUCUAUUCAUCAGCCUCCUAUUUUUGCCAAUUACAUUCUUCUAAAGUGAAGUACCAGCAGCUCAGACCCUUUGGCGUUCCAAGUUUUUCUCCCGUCGAGUGGUGCUGGGGAGUUUCGGUGACAAAGAGGGGUGGAAAAAGCAAAGCGCGGCUCCUCUUUGCACGGCCAAGCAGCAACGUCAUAACAAUGUGAGUAGGAGUCUGCACUGGUGCAGAAAUGCCUCACUCCGGAUCAGCGCCUCCUUGAGCUAGGAACUGCACAAACACGGCCCACGAGCGUGCAGUCUUUAAGAAACCCCAUAGAAACGUUUUACAACUCACCUGCCUCUGGGUCAUGUGUGACCUGCGGUUUAAAAUGGCAUUCACACAGAGAGUCCAUAAUCUGCCUGGAGCGCGACCAAAUACUCGAGGAGACUAGUGUUUUAAAUAUCAACAUAGAAGAAGACCCAAAAGGGGGGAAGGGGGACCAUUUUGGUGUGGCAAUAAAAUGAGGAGUGAACGCAAGAGCUCCUCAAUCGAGGCUAUUUUGCAAACGUAUCGGAUCUAACACGGUGUCUACCGUAUUUGUGAUCAAGUGUUUAAAUAUUAAAUAAAUACAGUGUCCAGCG